ACUGUUACGUUAUUACCUCUUUUAUGCUUUCUGCUGCCGGCAAGGGUGUUGAAGACCAGCACAGCUGCACUCCUAGAAGUCCUGAUGCAGAUGAGAUUACUGUGCAAGUACAAUUUUGAAAAGAUUUUUAAGUCUAGCAACAGGACAUACACAAGUGAUGGAAAUAACUGAAAGCAAAUCUUAAUGAGCAACAGUCUUCUGGAAGCAGCAUCUAAUCCUGUUUUUCUACCACCAGUCCUAAGACAGAGGGAAACAAAUGAAAUUCCUCCUUUGUCAUCUGAUAUGAAAUACAUUUUACUUUGAUUUUGAUUUUUUUUUAACCAUUGAUCCUUAAGUGGAAUUUUUAAACUUUGACCUCUAAAUGAGCCAAGACUGACAAGACUUCCUCCAGUGUCAAGAAAGGGCCUGAUAUCUGUUUUUGGAAGCACAAUACUAAAUGAGGGACUGAAGAAGAUGUUGGUUUCAGGAAAUGUAAUAAAGUUCCGUGAGAUCCUUUCCUCCAUGUGUCAGUGAGUUUCUGCCUCAGGUGAUGAGAGACCCACACUGGAAAAAGUAACAAAGUGACUGGGGCUAUGUUUGUACAGUGGUGUCAAAAGUAGUCUUAUUGAAUUCCAUGCUGUAAUUCCUGGAAAUGUCCAAACCAAACAAUCAAUGCAUUAUUUGUUGACAUGUUUAGUUGAGGCCUCCAGUUUUUAACCUGAGUGCUACAACUCCUCCAGUUUUCUGCUCCAAGGAAGAAGCUGUGAAUUGGAAUAAGACCGAAAUUUUGUUUUGUUUUGUUUUGCUAUUUGACAUGUGACAGAAAAGAUACAUAGUAAUGGCAGUGGUCUGUUAUCAUGUACUGAGUGGAACAGUGUUACCAUAUGAGGCCACAAAUGUGUUUUUUUUAAUAUUGUAAGGUGAUAUUUGUGGUGGUGUUGGGUUGUAUGCAUGUGGAUGUCUGAAGCCUCUGGCUGUGGGUGGCUGAGUUGCUGUGAUGUCAUGGAAUGUUUGUGAACAUUCUAACUUGGAAGGAAUGGCACUGAAGAUAAUAGAAUCCCCACAAACAGACCAACUUUUGUGAUGAGAAUAAAGAUCAGUUUUGAUGGGACUCUUCUUUUCAAGAGGCAGAGAACACAAGGGGUGGAGGAAAGAAAGGGCAGAGAGAAGGGGCUGAAAAGCAGAGACCAACAGAGCUUUUUCUUCUUCUAAUCUAGCACACAGGGAUUUGGGGGGAUUCCGUGGAAGGGUUAAACCUCACUUCCCACAUUCAUAUCCAGUUAUAAGAAAAAGGGGUUUGUGCCAAGUAUUUUUUAACCUAAAAAUGAUGUGGAUGCUAACCACAGGGGAAAAGUAACAUCAAAUUUGACACUGAGGCAAAGAUUAGCCAAAAAGACAUGAGGUCUUGCUUGAGUAGCUAGAAAGCAGGCUAGGCCACUUGGAACCUUGUGGUCAGGGCAUAAGGAAAUGGGUGUUUAUACUCCUUACCAGAGUGUAUUACUUUGUGUGACAUGCAGGGUGUUCAGAGCAUAUUUUUUCCUAUAUGUGCAAUUCAGCACAAAUAGCUGUAAUGGAAUCUGAUGACAGCAAUUCUCACUGCGUGAUUUUCAGACAUGUGAGAACGGGCAACCAUGUUAUGUGAAUGGCUCAAACAGAGAAGUUGCUUCCUGCACUUAAUGGAUAGAAAAGGAGCAAUUGAAUAUGCACAAUCCGUUAACCCACAUAUGAAUGAGAAUCCCCUAUAAGGGAAAUUCCCUCUCCAGAUGAUUCCAGUUGGAAUGUAGGGUAGUAGGAUCCUGGAAUUGGUAUCAAGAUAGCCUUGGGCACCUUCCAAAUUUGAUGGCUGACAAAACUCUAGUAACUUUUAGUUUACAAACCUUAGUGUACAAACAGCCACAAACCUUCAUUGUAUUUUCAGUUACUUUUCCCGUUAUCCUGGACAUGGGUAUUAUUGCACUGCUGUCAAGUUUCUCUUGUGCAUGUCUGAAUGCAACCUUAUAUGUUGUUUAUCAAGGAAUACACAUGUUUUGCUGGUGAACUGUUUGCUGGACUAUAACUCCAUGCUAUUAAGAUGGCCAGGGUUACUAAACAUGUGUGCACAUCUACUUCAGUGGGCUGAGUCCUCCUGACCACCAUUGAAUUAGUCAGCACACAUUGGUGAAUGUGUGAAAUUCCUCUACUUAAGUGCAUUGUGUUUGAUCUGUGAUGAUUCAGUCCCACAUGCAAGUCGUGCCUUGAUGAGCAAGGGAUGAGCAUGCAUGUGUGAAUCAGCCAUGUGUUGCUUAAAAGCAAAGGCAACAAUAAUGCCCAAGAUCGCUGCCCAUGAGCAACAGUCAAAACAGUGCUAGGCAACAGUUGCCAAGUGGCACCAAGGAAGUGGUAGUUAGUUGAGUGAUGCCUCUUGCUUGGUUUCCCAAUUGCUGUGCUAAAGGUACCUUUUUCAUUAAGUAGUUAGAUGCAUUUCAAUUUUUAUUGCUAUUUUUAAAAAGUGAAUAGAUCUCACUAGCAUUUCUUUAUUUGCAAGUUAUGGCAUUGGGGAUACCAAGGUUAGUUUCUCAUAUCACAGGAAAUUUCUACAUUGCAAUGUAAACAGGCCAUAGCUGUCAACUUUUCCUUUUCUUGCAAGGAAUCCUUUUCAGAUUAAGGGAAUUCCCCUUUAAAAAAGGGGAAAGUUGACAGCUAUGUAACAGGCAUCAAAACAUGCCUGAGGGUGGAUAUAGGAAAUGCACAGUGCACAUCUGUGGAGCUAUAGCAGACCUAAGAUCACAGUCUGCUAUUUAGUUUGGAUAGGGUCCCCGCCCCCUGCUUCUCUGAAGAUAAAUAAUUGCCCACCUCCCAUCUUUCAUUCAUGAAAUCAGCAGCCAUGUAAUGCUUACAAAGCAACUGUACCCUCAUUAGAAACUGGCAUUGUUAAUAUGAUGCUUGGGGUUCUACUUCUUUUGCAUCAAAAGUAGCUAAACCACAAGAUAAAAUUAAAAUCAAUACCCAGAAGCUACCAGGAAGUUAAAGAAUGAAAAGAAGCCUUGAGAAGAAUGUGUGUGGCAUGGGAAUGAAACAACCAUAAAAGUGAAUGCUGCUAUAAUUUUGCUUUGGCCAGUAUAAACACUUCAGGCAGCCAGUUUUCUGGAAAGGAAUCCUAGCAUUUUUCAACCAUUGUAGUCCUUUUUACGUUUCUACUGGCCUUUCCCUGUCAGUUGGUCAGCAUUAUUCUGUGUCUCCUUCCUUCCUAGCUAGCAGCCUUUGAGAAAUGCCUGCUGGCUAAGUUCUGCAAGGCUCAAAAUUCUCUGGAAAACUACAGCCAUUUGCAUAGGGAGUUCAACGCCAGAUAAAUGACUACAAGCAGCCUGAACAAAGCUAAGCAGUGUCUGCCAGGGAAGUGUUAGCCAGUAGAAUGAUAGCCGUUGGCUGUUCCCCCAAUUUUUAACUACAUUUCAUGAAGCAGUCAGAUGCAUUUGCUUUUUUAAAAAAGGUUUUAAUCAUUCUCAACUUUUCUUUUUUAGCUGGUCCAGCAUCAUCUGUUACUGGUUUAGGAAAACAGGAAACGAGAGCUGUGCUGGGGAAAGCCAUGGCCCCAACCUUUGUGUGUCUUAUUCACUCUCAAAGUGGGAUGGCAGCAUUUUUAGACGGCUUGGGUCACAUGCUGCCUGUGCGCAAGGGUCAAAUUAGCUAUUUCACACACAGAUUCUUUGGUGGCUUCACCACAAGUUGCUUUUCCAGAGAUUUUUUUGGCACAGAUGUGCAGUCUUGCAAAUGCUAUUGCCAUGGGCAUAGCCAGGAUUUAUGUUUGGGGGGAUAGGCUUUAUGUUAGGAGGGGGCAGAACCUCGGUUAGUUUAGUAUUUUUAUUGAUUUACUUGAUUAUGGGUGGGGGCAAAUGCCCCCCCCAUUAUCUAUGUCCAUGGCUAUUCCUGAAUUUCAUAGUUACACUAAUUAAAUGCCCAACUGUGUAUCAGGUUGCUACCCACUUAUGUUGCCCAUAUAACUCAGUGUGAAGCAAGGAAGUCUGUCCUCAUAGCCCUGCCCUGAGUUCCAUUUCAUACAUCAGUUGAUAAAAUUGUUGAUUAAAUCUACAUAUGGGAAAGUCAAUAUUUCUGAAGCCAGAAGCAUUAUUUGUUUUCAGAUAUUGCACGCAUAGGAGGCAUGCAAGAGAAAAGGGGGGAUGCCUCUUUUAAGGUAGUGCUUGCCAUCUGCAGUUUUUAUAAGCACUUGUAUUUUUUUAAUAAAAAAACCCAACAACAACUUGUUACAUUAACCACUUUCUUGAAUAUCAAAGACCUACUGUAGAAUGACAGAAUGGCGAUCUAUGGUAGUGAUGGUGGAGACAGUUUUAUACUGUUUGGAUAGGCUUGGGAGAGCCCAGUAGCUAUAGAGUAGGUAAGGGUAUGAUAGUCUAGGAAAGGAUCCAAGGGGGGAAAGUAGGUCCUGAAAGCAGAUAGGGAGAGGGAGAUUGCAGAGGAGGCGAGACUAGUCUGGGCAUAAGAAACAGCAGGGCUAGAAGCAUGGAGAUGGGAGCAAGAGAGGGAGAGGAAUUGGGCUCUGCAACAGAUAGUAUUUUAGAAGCCAGGUGCAGAUGGCAUGUAUGCUUGAAAUGCAAAUACAGUAUAUAUCAGAAACCUGCAAGUACAGCAGCUGCAGUGUCUGUUUUUUUAAAAUCUGUGUAGGAAUUGUUGGGUACUCAAGGCUUCUUUUAAAACAACUUUUUCAUGCUUGUAUUGUUUUUGUUAUUUGAAGGCUGCAUACCAAGUAGAUUGGAGCAGAAAUUUUUGAGGAUGUUAUUAUGAUAAAAUGUUGGAGUUUUUUCUUCUUCUUUUUUCCUGCCUCUAAACUGUAGAAUUUCUGUGUGCAUGUGCACACAGAAAUAUUCCACAAAAUGCCCCCCACUCCCAAGUCUGCUGCCUGCAAAUAAGAGUGGAGAAUUAUGGGAGGUCAUUUAUGCUCAGCCCUAAGAACUAGAAAAAUAAUGUAUGAAGAGGAAAAAAUGUGCACCACUAGAGGGCACCUUUGUUUCAGAUUUGGCAGAUGAGACUAAUGUCCUGAGCAUUCUGUAGUGUAGGCCACACACUUGACUGGUGAAGGGUUCUGAGCAGCAGAACUGUGUUUGCAAAAUGUAAAUUCUAUAUGGGAUUAAAAACACCCGUGGAAAGGAGGCCCUUUUCUGUCUCCCAUGAAAAAGUUGCUGCAAGUAUCAUUUGAUCUUUCCUGUUUCCUCAGCUGUGCCUCCCCACUGUCACGAAAGGGCACGCCCAUUAAGAACAUUUCAUCCAGCCUGCUAAAGUUGGCUCUGCUAUUUUUAUUGCUGAUUUAGCUGCCAAUAAAAGGACAUCAGUUUCUAAAAAUGUGCACCAAAGGUUUCCCCAACCUGGUGCCCUCCGGCUCUGGGUGUUUGAGAUUAUAACUCCCAUCGGAGCCAGCUAGCUAGGUCCACCACAUCUACAGCAGAUGUUUGGGGAAGGCGGUUGUGCAUGUAUUACAAUUGCAUAAAAAGCUGAGUUUGGGGACAAUCUACUAAAGGAACUUUUCUGUCACUUUCAUAGCAUGAGAGAAUAAUUACAGGUGAAUGAAUGAAACACUACAGCAAGGAGGGAUAAUGAAUGGGUUUAAGAACAGAGUACAGCAUCUGGUACCAUAUCAUACCAUGAGAGGCACUAUUCUUAGCUUGCUCUUGCUUAGAUC